AGAACGAACGCUGGCGGCAUGCCUAACACAUGCAAGUCGAACGAGACCUUCGGGUCUAGUGGCGCACGGGUGCGUAACGCGUGGGAAUCUGCCCUUGGGUUCGGAAUAACAGUUAGAAAUGACUGCUAAUACCGGAUGAUGACGAAAGCCCAAAGAUUUAUCGCCCAGGGAUGAGCCCGCGUAGGAUUAGCUAGUUGGUGAGGUAAAGGCUCACCAAGGCGACGAUCCUUAGCUGGUCUGAGAGGAUGAUCAGCCACACUGGGACUGAGACACGGCCCAGACUCCUACGGGAGGCAGCAGUGGGGAAUAUUGGACAAUGGGCGAAAGCCUGAUCCAGCAAUGCCGCGUGAGUGAUGAAGGCCUUAGGGUGUAAAGCUCUUUUACCCGGGAUGAUAAUGACAGUACCGGAGAAUAAGCUCCGGCUAACUCCGCGCCAGCAGCCGC
rnacentral:rRNA from 1 species